CGGUUAAAGAUGCUAAUCGACUAAGCGAUGAUGGUUCUAUCAAUGGCCAAGUUAGAAUAAAAAAUUAUAUCCUACACUAUUUAUACCAUAUGGCAUAUCAAACGCUUAUCUCACUGCACUAUCAUGCAAACAUACAAACGAGCAGCUAUAAUUAUCAGCAUCUACGGCCAUAUGUUGCACAACAUGUAGGGUAUAAUUUCUCAAGUUAGAAUACGCAUCACCAGAGUAGAGAAGAAGGCCUUAUAUUUCAGAAGUGUCCUCCUCCACAACAAAAACUACCACCGAAGGGGCACCGAAGAAAAACUACACGUUAGGCAUCCCACCACA
rnacentral:lncRNA from 1 species